UUGGAUUCCUGGAACGGCGCCGGUGACCUCACGCCAGUGACUUCACAUCCGGAACCUUCUGGGAAUUCUCAGCCACACUUUUUCGUUCACAUGUUGAGGUGGUCUGACAAAUUGUUGGGACUGGGAAAUUUCUUCCUGGAAGACAAGUUCCUCCUCUGACUGGCAUCAGAGCUUCAGGCUUUUCCUCCCUCCACAAUGAGAUUCCUGGGGAAAUUCCAAUUUCUUAGGAUCCAUAGCCUAAGGCAAGGUACAAAAAGUAAGCUGAGCACCAGCAUUCAUCGCUCUCUG